rnacentral:rRNA from 1 species
UACGUAGGGGGCAAGCGUUGUCCGGAUUCAUUGGGCGUAAAGAGCGUGUAGGCGGCCAGGUAGGUCCGUUGUGAAAACUCGAGGCUCAACCUCGAGACGUCGAUGGAAACCAUCUGGCUAGAGUCCGGAAGAGGAGAGUGGAAUUCCUGGUGUAGCGGUGAAAUGCGCAGAUAUCAGGAAGAACACCUAUGGCGAAGGCAGCCCCCUGGGCCAACACUGACGCUCAGGCACGAAAGCGUGGGGAGCAAACAGG